GAUGAACGCUGGCGGCGUGCCUAAUACAUGCAAGUCGAGCGAACGGACGAGAAGCUUGCUUCUCCGAUGUUAGCGGCGGACGGGUGAGUAACACGUGGAUAACCUACCUAUAAGACUGGGAUAACUUCGGGAAACCGGAGCUAAUACCGGAUAAUAUUUUGAACCGCAUGGUUCAAAAGUGAAAGACGGUCUUGCUGUCACUUAUAGAUGGAUCCGCGCUGCAUUAGCUAGUUGGUAAGGUAACGGCUUACCAAGGCAACGAUGCAUAGCCGACCUGAGAGGGUGAUCGGCCACACUGGAACUGAGACACGGUCCAGACUCCUACGGGAGGCAGCAGUAGGGAAUCUUCCGCAAAGGGCGAAAGCCUGACGGAGCAACGCCGCGUGAGUGAUGAAGGUCUUCGGAUCGUAAAACUCUGUUAUUAGGGAAGAACAUAUGUGUAAGUAACUGUGCACAUCUUGACGGUACCUAAUCAGAAAGCCACGGCUAACUACGUG
rnacentral:rRNA from 1 species